rnacentral:rRNA from 1 species
UACGUAGGGUGCAAGCGUUGUCCGGAAUUAUUGGGCGUAAAGAGCUCGUAGGCGGUUUGUCGCGUCUGCUGUGAAAACGCGAGGCUCAACCCCGCGCCUGCAGUGGGUACGGGCAGACUAGAGUGCGGUAGGGGAGAUUGGAAUUCCUGGUGUAGCGGUGGAAUGCGCAGAUAUCAGGAGGAACACCGAUGGCGAAGGCAGAUCUCUGGGCCGGUAACUGAC